CUCAGUUUAUAUACACCUGUUCUGAAAGACCCCAGAGUCUGCAACACCACCAAGCCAGACGCACCAUGAAGACCAAGGAGCUCGCCAAACAGGACCAUUCCAUUCGAGUACAGGGAACAUUUCCAAGAAGUAUGAAACCGACAUAACUCCGGCCGGAUGGACCUUUUCUAUCUGGGGGCUCAUCUACACCUGGUUGUCUCUCAUGCUCAUCUAUGUCAUCUCCUUCCUCUACAGAAGGAGCUGGACCCUCUUUGUGCUGCCGUACGGUUUCUACGUGUCCUGGAUAGUCAACAUGGCCUUCAACAUGACCUGGCUUGUCCUAUGGGUUCAAGAGCAGAUGACUGCUGCGUUGAUUGUACUGUGGAUCAUUGCUGUCACCAACUACUCUAUGAUCUUUUUCUCCUGCUAUGGGCUGAGUGUCUACGGAGCCUGGCUCAGCCAGAACCAACCUAGUGAUCUUUGGUGCAUCCGGGUGCUGGUGCAGAAUGGCAUUGCCCUGUAUACCACAUGGACAACCAUUGCCACUCUGAUCAACUUCACCCUGGUGUUGGACCUCUCUGGAGUGGCAAAUAGCACUGCAGCCACCGUGUCUCUUUGUAUCCUACUGGUGGAGGUGAUCGGAUGGUUUGGUAUUGAGAACUUCCUGCUGGAUCAGCAUGUGAGGUACAUCCUGACUAUUUACCCUGUGGUGAUCAUUGCUCUGGUUGGGAAUGUGUUCAAGCACUAUGAUCCUGCAGCACCAAGCGCAAACGCUAUCUUCAUGGUUUGUCUCUUGGUGGUUUCCUGUGUGCUCCUGGUGGUGCGAGUCGCCUUGGUGUUCAGGAGAAAUCGGAACCAGCCCCUGUACGCUGGCAUGAGCCUGGAGGCUCUGAUCUCGCCCAGCAGCCUGAACAAGAAUCAGAAUAAGAUAUUCAUGUAGAAGACUGGUACACACCACAAUACCAUCUUUUCACGAAGUGUCAAACCGUAAUAAUCUAUAACAUAACACAUUGCCUAUAUUAAACCAUACACAUUCAUUAUUCAGUUUGGACAAGAAACAGAUGAAGAUAUUCAUGUAGAAGACUGGUAGUCUUCUACAUAGUACGAUCUGUAAACGAUACGAAGUGUCAAAGCCUAUGCUUCCAUAUAAUAUAAUCCAUAACAUAUAAUCCUGUAUUACGCACACUGUAUUAAAAAACCUGUAUUCAUCCAAUCAUAACAUUCCACUACACUGUAAUGCAUAACACUUUCUAUGUUUAUAAUACAUGUAAUAAGAGAUAUUUGUACACUAAUCAAUGCACUGAAUAAUCAUACAAUUCCAGUGUAAGUAACACUUUUUUUUUUUACGUGAUUCUUACUAUUUUGUAUUGAUCUGAUACAUAAAAACAUUUUGCCUAUCCUGUUUUGACAAUGCUAUUUUCACUUGAUGAAACUAUUAGUCUACACACUGAGUAUGAGUAGAAAUAUGGAAUGCUAAAAUAAAAUGGGAUGUUAAUGUUUUAUUAUAUGGUUGAUGUGGGGUUACGACAUUUUUUUUUUCCUAUGAUUACAUACAGUUGAAGUCGGAAGUUUACAUACACCUUAG
ensembl:lncRNA